ACAUAAAGGUGUGAACAGUCCUGCACAUGACUCAUGUCACCACUGUUUCUCAACAGCCAUGACACUAUCUCCAGGUCUAGUCCAGGUUGUGUUCAGCAGGUUUUCUUGCAAAAAUAUUUCAACAUUCAAAUACUUAUUGUUUCACACAUUUUUUUGUGAGAACUGUGAAAUCAAAACAUUGCUAACAGCUGAUUGGCCAACGAGAAGAAGAAUUUUUCCUUAUAAACGACCUCUUUGCUGAAGGAACUUCAGAGUGAAUUCGCCACUGGUUGGUGUAGACAGAAUUUGACCCUUGGUUCAACCGCUCCACACGUUACAGCUAUGAAACUGCUGGUCCUCGUUCUGUGCUUCUUGGCACUAAGUUGUGCCUUUCCUGCCUCUGAGGAGAAGGAUCGAGUGAAACGCUCCAGCAGUGGAGAGGGGGGUGGAUAUGGCUAUAUGCCUAUGAAUGGAUUUCCUAUGGGUGGAUUUCCUCAGAUGUUACCACCCACCUACUAUUCACAGAGCAACCAAGACCUUUCAUUUUUGCUGCCCUACUUGUUGCUGAGACUGGUAACUCCUGCCGCAGGAAAGUGAUUCAACAAACCUACGGAACCGAGCGAUGCUGAAAUUCAAUCAUGUUCAUUUAGGGCCUUUGUUAACUUGACAAAAACCCAGAGAAAUAAAGAAAUGAUUCAAACCCUGAAUACUUGUUUUGUUUCUCUUUGAUUGUAUUUCUGCUUCUUUUUAACAUUCCUGAAAUC